rnacentral:rRNA from 1 species
GACGAACGCUGGCGGCGUGCUUAACACAUGCAAGUCGAACGGAAAGGCCCUGCUUUUGUGGGGUGCUCGAGUGGCGAACGGGUGAGUAACACGUGAGUAACCUGCCCUUGACUUUGGGAGAACUUCAUGAAACUGGGGCUAAUACCGGAUAGGAGCUCCUGCUGCAUGGUGGGGGUUGGAAAGUUUCGGCGGUUGGGGAUGGACUCGCGGCUUAUCAGCUUGUUGGUGGGGUAGUGGCUUACCAAGGCUUUGACGGGUAGCCGGCCUGAGAGGGUGACCGGCCACAUUGGGACUGAGAUACGGCACAGACUCCUACGGGAGGCAGCAGUGGGGAAUAUUGCACAAUGGGCGGAAGCCUGAUGCAGCAACGCCGCGUGCGGGAUGACGGCCUUCGGGUUGUAAACCGCUUUCGCCUGUGACGAAGCGUGAGUGACGGUAAUGGGUAAAGAAGCACCGGCUAACUACGUG